CCUGGCGGCCAUAGCGCCGUGGAACCACCUGAUCCCAUGCCGAACUCAGAAGUGAAACGCGGUAGCGCCGAUGGUAGUGUGGCAUUCGCCAUGCGAGAGUAGGACACCGCCAGGC
rnacentral:rRNA from 2 species